GGAGAAGUAAGCUUUAAGCUGGAGGUCAGGUAAGAGGGGGAGCUUGGCUGGAUGUGAGGCAGAAGAAGCAGGCCUCCAGGUCCCAGGGUCAGGACUAGGGUGCAGGUUGGCCCUGAACCCCAGCAGGUGGUAUCUGCCAGUCCAAAGUCUGUGAGCACCCCACCAAAAGGAGGUGUCUCCAGCAGGCUGUUAACCUUGGAUCACACAGACUCAGAAGGCAACAGCUGCUUGCCUUGCCUGAAAAUGCCUUGUGAUGGUGACUCCAGGACACAGCAAGUCCCUUCAAGGAGCACCAAGGAUAGUAUGAAAGCACAGCCAUGGGAGGACUCAGAUGGGAUGCAGUGAAGACAGCCAUGGGAGACCUCAGGCAAGGCUGUGUGAUAGCACAGCCAUAAGAGACCACAGGCAAAGGUCACAGUCUCUUCUUGGCUAUUACCACUCACCAAGGGCUCCUCCAUGUCCAGAGAUGUCUGGAAAACUGGCAAACUAGAGAACUGAAGAAGAGAAACAUGUCCAAUGCACAGGCUACAUCCAUGAUCCUGGUAGGGACAGAAGAGGGUUAUAACAAAUGAUUCAGGAAUCUCUCACAACACAAGAAAAACUGCCCCUUCCCCACAUACAGCGACAGAGGGGGCUCUCAACUUCCGCCUGUCUCCUUUAGGCCAGCAUCAUCUUUUACAGACCCCUCCUGCCUAUAUUAAUGACUACUAAAAAAUGACAGAACAUAUAAAUAAAAGGAGAUAAGCAAAUUGGUCCAGUAGAGCUUGAACUCUUCAAAGAUGGAAGG
ensembl:lncRNA